rnacentral:rRNA from 1 species
ACUCAAAGGAAUAGACGGGGACCCGCACAAGCGGUGGAGCAUGUGGAUUAAUUCGAUACAAACCGAAGAACCUUACCCAGGUUUGACAUCGAUGGCAAUCUCGCGAAAGCGGGACCUCCCCCAAAAGGGGACCUGAAGACAGAUGUUGCAUGGCUGUCGUCAGCUCGUGCCGUGAGGUGUACGGUUAAGUCCGCCAACGAGCGCAACCCUCGUCCUAUGUUGCCAGCGAGUAAAGUCGGGAACUCAUAGGAGACUGCCGGUGUAAGCCGGAGGAAGGCGAGGAUGAUGUCAAGUCAGCAUGGCUCUUACGCCUGGGGCUUCACACAUGCUACAAUGGGCGCAACAAAGGGCAGCAAGGCCGCGAGGCGGAGCUAAUCCCAAAAAUACGCCCUCAGUUCAGAUUGCAGUCUGCAACUCGACUGCAUGAAGUUGGAAUCGCUAGUAAACGCAGGUCAGCUAUACUGCGUUGAAUACGUUCUCGGGUCUUGUACACACCGCCCGU